rnacentral:rRNA from 1 species
UACAUGGGGUGCAAACGUUGCUCGGAAUUAUUGGGCGUAAAGCGCGCGUAGGCGGUUAUCUAAGUCGGAUGUGAAAGCCCUCGGCUUAACUGAGGAAGUGCACCCGAAACUGGAUAGCUAGAGUACGAAAGAGGGUCGCGGAAUUCCCGGUGUAGAGGUGAAAUUCGUAGAUAUCGGGGGGAACACCGGUGGCGAAGGCGGCGACCUGGGUCGAGACUGACGCUGAGGCGCGAAAGCGUGGGGAGCAAACAGG